AAUUACGAUACCAAAUUCUUAAGGCAAGAGGGACGAGUUUCACUGCGUCUUGCCAAAAAUGAAGAUUCCGCUUAUAUUCAUAUUUGCUUCGCUGUGUGUCGGGAUUUUAGAUAAUGCAUUUGCUGUUGAAAUAGUAAAUCUAAGUCCUGCAGAGUCCAUAGUGCAAGCUUUUGGAAGUCUACUAAGCUAAGCCGUCUGGACAAUAGAUUCGAGAGUAUUAAAGAUGAAGAAAAUAAUAUACGUGAAAAGUGCACGAGAAAUGGCGGACCCAAUGCGUAUGAUAAUGCGAAAAGAGCCCGGGAGGACAUUCGAAACGCUCUAAAUCCUUUGAUCAACGAAACGCUCACUAACCCUGCACUAAACAAUUAUCAAUCAUGGAACGCGCAGGAAAGCAUUUCGACGAUUUGUCGCAUAGCUCGACCUGUAAGAAACUUGACGACGACAGCUUUAGCCUCAAUCGGCUCUUGUUUGGACUAAGGCGAACGCCAUACUGCAAACGCUGCGUUCAACACUCAUCUUUCCAUAAUAGAUUUUGCCUGCGAGGAUAACGGAAAACACUUUUUAACACUUUGGAGAGAAAAUGGCUUUCAAUGCUUCGCUAGAGAUGGUUUUUUUCCGGAAUUGUAGCAGAAACAGCUUCGAUGUCGAAAGACCUGGAGUUAAUUAUACAAUUUUUAAUCCCGUUUACCGAGUUGGUUC